rnacentral:rRNA from 1 species
GAUGAACGCUGGCGGCGUGCCUAAUACAUGCAAGUCGAGCGAACAGACGAGGAGCCUGCUCCUUUGACGUUAGCGGCGGACGGGGGAGUAACACGUGGGUAACCUACCUAUAAGACUGGGAUAACUUCGGGAAACCGGAGCUAAUACCGGAUAAUAUUUCGAACCGCAUGGUUCGAUAGUAAAAGAUGGCUUUGCUAUCACUUAUAGAUGGACCUGCGCCGUAUUAGCUAGUUGGUAAGGUAACGGCUUACCAAGGCAACGAUACGUAGCCGACCUGAGAGGGUGAUCGGCCACACUGGAACUGAGACACGGUCCAGACUCCUACGGGAGGCAGCAGUAGGGAAUCUUCCGCAAUGGGCGAAAGCCUGACGGAGCAACGCCGCGUGAGUGAUGAAGGUCUUCGGAUCGUAAAACUCUGUUAUUAGGGAAGAACAAACGUGUAAGUAACUGUGCACGUCUUGACGGUACCUAAUCAGAAAGCCACGGCUAACUACGUG